rnacentral:rRNA from 1 species
UACGUAGGGUGCAAGCGUUAAUCGGAAUUACUGGGCGUAAAGCGUGCGCAGGCGGUUUUGUAAGUCUGACGUGAAAUCCCCGGGCUUAACCUGGGAAUUGCGUUGGAGACUGCAAGGCUAGAAUCUGGCAGAGGGGGGUAGAAUUCCACGUGUAGCAGUGAAAUGCGUAGAGAUGUGGAGGAACACCGAUGGCGAAGGCAGCCCCGUGGGUCAAGAUUGACGCUCAUGCACGAAAGCGUGGGGAGCAAACAGG